GACGAACGCUGGCGGCGUGCUUAACACAUGCAAGUCGAACGAAGUGGCGAACGGGUGCGUAACGCGUAAUCAACCUUCCCUUCAGAGGGGUACAACAGUUGGAAACGACUGCUAAUACCGCAUACUGCCGGAGGGUAUUGCGUCUGAUUAGCUAGUUGGAGGGGUAACGGCCCCCCAAGGCGAUGAUCAGUAGCCGGACUGAGAGGAUGAACGGCCACAUUGGGACUGAGAAACGGCCCAGACUCCUACGGGAGGCAGCAGUGGGGAAGCUUCCGCAAUGGACGAAAGUCUGACGGAGCAACGCCGCGUGAGUGAUGACGGCCUUCGGGUUGUAAAGCUCUGUUAAUCGGGACGCGGUACCGGAAUAGAAAGCCACGGCUAACUACGUGCCAGCCGCCGCGGUAAUAC
rnacentral:rRNA from 1 species